CAGAAACUAGGGUUCGAUUCCCGGUGGUACCUACACUUUAGAGCUCUUUCACCAAUCUUUCUGGUUUUUCACUUUCAAAACACAAUAUUCUAACUUUUUUUUGCAGUUCUUUGUUAAAUAAAGUUUUGUAAAAAAAACAGGUGCACCUGAAAACUAUUUAAGUGGCGAUUAAUUGACUCGACGACCUUUUCGCCAUCAAGCCGCGAGCAUCACGACGUCUGUGAUGAGAUCGUUUCAGCAUUUUGGGGGUGAAAAAAAGCGCCGCUCCAGUAGGCUAACAUCUUCAUGGUCAUCUUGACACUAAAAUGAUGCACGUCUUCAAAUCGCCCCAAAAAUGGCUGACAUCUUGAUGGUCAUCUUGACACUAAAAUGACUCACAUCUUCAAAUCGCCCCAAAAAUGGCUAACAUCUUCAUGGUCAUCUUGACACUAAAAUGAUGCACGUCUUCAAAUCGCCCCAAAAAUGGCUGACAUCUUGAUGGUCAUCUUGACACUAAAAUGACUCACAUCUUCAAAUCGCCCCAAAAAUGGCUGACAUCUUCAUGGUCAUCUUGACACUAAAAUGACUCACAUCUUCAAAUCGCCCCAAAAAUGGCUGACAUCUUGAUGGUCAUCUUGACACUAAAGUGGUGCUUAGCAACAAAAUGACAGCCUGUUUUUUUUGUUUUGUUUUUUGUACAGCAAUAAAAUAUCUGCGUGACUAAUUGUCUAUUUUCUGUCCACAGACGCACGUCUUCAAAUCGCCCUAAAAAUGGCUCGCAUCUCAAACAAUGGUCCAAUGACCCUAAAAUGGCUGCUUCAAUGUGAAAUGGCUGACUUCCUGCCUUCUGUUAGACAUGUCUACCAAAUAUACCAAAAAGGUUCCACGUUCCAAAAACUCAAAUGCAAACUGUUACUGUGUCUUUCAGCCCACCGUGCUGCAGGUCUUCAAGACGUCCAGCUCGGUCUCGCUCUCUCCUCCCGGGUGAGACU